rnacentral:lncRNA from 1 species
CGUGUGCCACUGCACACCCACGGUCUCCGCCAGGCUGACGUGUGCCACUGCACACCCACGGUCUCUGCCAGGCUGACGUGUGCCACUGCACACCCACGGUCUCCGCAUCAGCCGGCCCCCCUCUGCUGCCUUGCUGUCUGUGUGCUGGUCUCAGGUCGUCUGCCACCGCCGUACCCAACAGCAGUUGUCAGAAGGCUUCUCCUCGAGCCUCCUUCUCUUCUGUCCUCUGACUCGGAGCCGCUGUCCCCGAUUUCUACUCAGAGGGACAAGGCAGGCGCUGGGCUUCACCCCUCGUCCUCUGCUGAGGACAGACCCAGGAGCGUGCCUCCCCUCCUCCCCUCCUUUCCUCCGCCUCUCUUCUCGGCCCUUCUCUUCUGUGCUCCGGAUCCCUUUCUCUCCUCACUGUCACUUAUCCUUUCCACUUUACCUUCCACCUCUUAUUUUCCGUGCCCACUUCUGCCCAACAUAGAACCCUUCAUAGAAUACAUCUUCAGUACUCAGGGCGAAGGCCCCUUCUUCACUGGCAUCCUCUCUGGUGUCCCGCUCCUUUCAGCCGGGCUCUCUGAGAAGCAGGUUUCAUGCCCUUCUCGCGCUGCCUACCUCGCUGCUGCCUCUUCCCUGCGUUCCUCAGCUCCUUCAGUGAAGGGUUUGCCCUCCUUUCCACUAAGGUUUCUCUCUCAGAUAAUCAGUGGCCUCCCAACUGCCAACCCUCGUGAUCGCGAUCAACUCUUAGACUUUCCACACUUGAUUUCUCCGCAGCGUCUGACGUCGUCGUUGAAUUCUACCCGCUUCUGGGGAGGCGCUGGCUCGCUCUCUCUCCCUUCCAGGAUAUGGCUCUCUCUUGGUUAUCUUUCUACCUUUUUGACCCCUCCCUCCCUCUCCCUCUCCCUCUCUGCUUUCCCCUCCUCCUCUACAGUCCCUCAGACGUUGGCAUCCUCUGGGCAACCCCCCUCCAGGAACUCAUUUGCUAUCCUGGCUCUAACCACCCUCUGCUUUCUGAUGACUCCACGGUGCUGGCUUCCAGGCCCACUGGACCAGAGCAGCAUGGAGCAGCCACUCGCUGGCUAG